UCAAAACAUCAUCUAUUUUUGAAAUAUCAAAAACUUUCUAAAACAUAUCUAUUUUGAAACGGAGAAAGUAUUAUUAUUUAUUUACAAAAGUUACAAUCAAAAAAAAAAGAAAAAAGACGGACGCCACAAGAAAUUAAACAGUUGGGGCCUCUCGUGAGUAUUUGGUAAACAAACCCUCCUUAGAUAUCAACUCCCCAGCACACUCUCAUGCACACACACUCAUCGAUUCCAAACUCUCCUCUUGCGUUUACGUGGCGACUCGUUUACGUGUGUCCUCAUACAUUUAUUAUUUACUCAACAGCUUUUCGUUCCCCACCUUUCCCGUGUAGCUGUCUUCUUUUUUUGUUUAUAUAUUUAGAUUCUCCGAAACGCAGGUCAAACCGUCCUGAAACUAAUUAAUUCUACGUCAGUUUUACGUUAGUAUUAAAUAAGAUUAUCCCUUGUUCCUAAAGCAUAUUCUUAUAGAGAUCUGAUUAUGAAACUACAAUAUAUACGUACAUAUAGUACAUUCGCAAUGUCUGCCUUAGACCAUGAUUAACUCGAAGUUCUUAGAGUGUAGUUCUUAGCGGAAGUUAAGAAACGAUUUCUUAAAUAUAUUUC
rnacentral:lncRNA from 1 species